CGAUGCAGUCUGAAUUGAAAGUAAAACUAAUGCUAAACAAAUAAAGCCUACCUGUUUCUGAGGAAGAGCAACAAUGGACUGGGGUUCCCAUUGGCUAAAUGUUCAGGUUUAAUCCACAAUGGAUUCCGGUGAAGAUUAAUUGCCAAGGAAAGAAGCAAUUAAGCCGCACCACGAUGAUCGCUCCUCCCCUGAAGAACGUAAGCAGCUUUUUGAAGCACUGGCGGAACUGGAGAAAUGGAAGAGGAAAGUCGAAGAUGCGGACAACAAGAAAUCAAAGCUGACAUUUGAAAAACUGGACUCUGAAGAUGCUAAAAAACAGGCCCAGAAGGAAAUGCUAGAGCUAACUGUGCAGCAACAAAAGAGAGAAGACACUUUGGAAAUGAAGAAAGGGCAAGAGGGCAAUAUUUUGGAUUUGGAGAAAAGCACCAGAGCACUGUCGAACCACCUGAAGAAACGUGAAGCAGUCUUGAAGAAGAAAAGGGCAGAGUGUGCCGCGCUCCAGCAAAAUCUCAAAAUUAAGGCUGAAAUCCCAGAGAAGAAGGUGGUGUUUACUGGGGUGGAAAAGGAGACAGGGGAGGAGAACUAUGAGAACACUGUGAGCAAGUUCUUCAUCACCCAGAGACCCACGUUUCUCCUGAAAGGUUGCCAGGCCCUCAUCACCUUUGAGGGAGAGGAAGUGGCUGAAAAAAAAUUCUCAAAAACCUGACUGCCCAGUGAUGUUUGGCACCAAGAAGAUAAAGGUGACACCCCGGCCUGUGACCCUGGAGCCCUCUUGAGAUACACAUGGAGGUCUCGAAGAAGAAGAUGUGUUUUUCGGAGGCUCCUCCCAUCUUACCAGAAGAACACGAGGGACUGGCUGGAAGCUUGCUUUUCUAAACCUAGCAGAGGAGGAGGGGAGGUGGUGGAUGUGUCCUAUGACAAGAAAAAAAG